UAUACCACUUGGUAUAUAGUAUCAUACCGUAUCGAAUAAGUCUUGAAAUUUUGGUAUAGUACAAAAUUUCAAUCCUUGAUUUAAGUGACUUCUUUUAUGGACUAACAUGCAAAUAUUGGGACUGUGUAACUUAUUUAUCAUGAACUAGCAUUGUCCAUAAUGUAAGUUACUCAUAUAAGAAACCAACAAGUAUGCUUUCUAUGGAUGAUAAUUGUUAGGACGGGAAACCACAGCAUGUGGAUAAGGCUCUUAAUGGUGAAAUUUUAUAGGUUGGAUCAAGGUAUGCAAUACCGUACCGUAUUAGUAUUUCGAGGUUGGCUCGGUAUGGUACAGUACCGUAUACCGAGCGGUACGUCAGGGUGUACCGAGCGGUACACCUAAUUUAGGUGUAAGACCCUCCGAAAAUACCUAAAAAUAAAAAAAAAGUUAGGAUAGGAUUUUUAUGUUAGAAAUAAAUAUAGUAAUAGCAUAAGUUUAGUAAAAUCAAUGUAAAUUAGGUAAGAAUAGUAUCAUAUAUCUUUUUCAGGCUUUGAAGAAUAUCUUAUGCAAGGUUCAUAUUUCAGUUUAGUACGGAUUAUCCUUAUAUAAACAUACCUCUUGAUUAGAAAGUUCUUCCUCUUAAUCUUCCUAAAUUAGCCUCGAUUCAAUUUAUAAAUCGUUGUUUUGUAGAGUUUAGGAGAGAACAAAUGUGAGAAAAAAAGAGUUUGAGAUAGUUUAAGAGAGUAUGAGAAUGUAAUGGAGUGAAAUAAAGGAGAAGAAGGGUUUUUAAAUACCAUAAGAAAGGGUUCCAAUGGUCAAUUUGACCAUUGGAGCACUGUAUCACUGUUACCGAGCAGUUUUAAAUAUUUCUUCCUCUUACUGUAGCAUUGUAGCACUCUAGCAUGUUCUGUCCGGUAGCGGGUGGUCCGCAAACCGGUAUGUCGUCGGACCGGUACGUAUCGCCCGUACCGGUUGGUAUCAUUCUAAAUUGGUUGGAUCAAGAUUGACAAUCCUUGGAACAUGAUGAGGUAAACUACUCCACUCUAUUUGACUUUAUGAACUAAAACUUGAUGGUUAAUUUUUUUUUUAACUUUUUAUUGGCAGCUGUAAUGACAUAUAUGAAUCUCCAAUUGAAUUGUGAGAGACACGAUGGCUAUGCAGGUCCAUCUUCUCAAAGGAUUUGGACUGCCAUUUAAAUGAACAAGUCUCCACAUUGUUAGUUACAAAUGUUCUUCUGUUUCUUCUUUGCAUUUUGUUCUGUAAUAUUUUGUGUCAAACAUUGAAAUAAUUAUAGAUGAUGUGUUCCAUAUUACUUAAUAGAAAUUCUUUUGCUUUUUGGCUUUCCACGUGUUUAAAAGUGUUCUUUCUUAGUUUAGAGGAUUCCACAAUAAGUUUAUGAAGAAACUAAUGUUAAUUAAAUUAUUUUUUCAUGCAUAUUAUGUGAAUGGAUAUGGUUUCUUAUCAAAUCAAUUUACAACCUGAUUUGGCAAUUUUGUACUUGAAUAGUUGGGUCUGUCUUCAAUAUUUGAUGAAAUUGUUAAAACUGAAGUAACCAGGCACAUGCAACCUACUGAUUACUUGAGCUUGUUUGGGGAAGAAUUCAAAUGAACUGAAGAUUAUUGGGAUGCUUCUUAUUUGAAUGUCUUGGAUUUGGGACUCAAUUGUUGAUGGUUUCAGUUUGGUCAUUUCUCAGAUGAUGGCGAUUGCAAUAUGUGGAUAUGGAAUUAUGGGAUAGUGUCACUUGGUAGAAUGUCUUUUCUUUGAUUAUUAGCUCUUAUGUUGUCUAGAUUCAACUUCCAAUAGCAUUUUGUAGUGCUUGUGAUCAAGAUUUUAGUUAUGCUCACUGAUCCGAAGUUUUUGUUUAUGUUCACUUAUCCAAAUUGAGAGAAUUACAUGGGCUCUUGAAAUGUUGCUGAAGUCAAGUCUGCAAUUUUGUGCCCUUAACAUUGGAUCUAUAAAUUUUUAUGAUGUGUUGUUAGCUAGAAGUUCUUAUGCAUUUAUGAUGCAAUCAUUACUAUAGUUAAUAAGGUUUUAUAAUGUGGCAUUUUAUAUUGUUUGCUAUGCUUUAGCUAAAUUGACUUUACUCAACUCGAUACUCAAAGAACAUCCUUUUGUAAUUUUUAUGGUCCUUUUUGCUUAUCAUGUUAUUACUUCUAAAAUAAUUAAUUUGUAAUUCUAUGAUGGUAAAUGUACAAUGUGAAAUAUUAAGUGUAAAUAAAAUCUCACUCAAAUUGAAAUGACUAGCAAAGCAAAUUAUAAAGGUAUCAUACAAAGCUAGUUGUUAAUUGGAACAUAUUUGUGCAGCAUUCAACUGAUAUCUCAAUAAAAGAUGCUUCUUAAUCAGGUUAAAACACAUGUACUUAUCCAUACAUUUUGAAGGUACACUCAAUCAGUUACGUUUUGAUAUGGUAAUUUGAAACUUUUAUUUUUAGUCUCCAUAGGUUAGGCUUUGUAGAAUCACUAGAUUUGGGUAUAAAAGUAGAUGCAUAACUGAAUUAUGACACCUUUGGCUCAUAUCAUAUUCUUUUUUAUCACUAAAUAGGAAGCUAGCUACUUAGUUUUGAUGAACAUCUUCUAUUGUUUAUAAAGCAAAUUGUCAUGCCCUGUAAUUCUUUAUGUUGUUUUUCUUCUUUUAUUUUUUCAUGUAAUAUGGUAUUAAAACUUAAUCGUUGACCCGUAUGCUUGUCCCUCUUGGAUUUGUAUGCUAUGUUUGUAUGUAGUUGUUUUUGCUUUUCAUGUACUUUCUAACUUCCAUGAAUGAAUUGAAUAUUGGUACCAAUUCUAACGCAAUAUGAUGUGAUAUAACACAAAAAUACAAAAAUUGUUAGUUGAAAUCUUUAGGAAUGUACAAUAUAUUAAUUAAUGCUAGCAAAUGAUCGGAUUGAUGUUGUCAAAUUGACUCUGUUAGAACGUCAAUCCUUGUUGUCAAUAUAUCAUACCAAGUCAGGCAGAACAUCAAUAACAUCAAUCCUUAUUGUCAAUAUACCUUGGUUACUUUAAUUAUGGCUAUCUAAAAUCCAAACAUGAAAAAAUUUUUGAGGAAAAUAAUUUGGAGUACAUAAAUUAUUUUUUAUGACUUUUAAACAUAAUACAGUUGUUUUUGGUAAAAUUCCAAAUUAUUUUGUUCUGUUUAAUGAAAUUUGCCACCAAAUUAGGAGUAUAACUAAAUUUCCUUUGUCAUGAGAAAAAAUAAUAGAUAAUUUUAGAAAAAAAUAUUGAUAACAAUUAAGAAGAAGUUGACAAAGACAUAUAACACAAACAAAACAUAUAAAAUAUUUAAAAUAAUUAGGAAAAUAUGAUUUAAUUGAAAGCAGUCUGAAAAAUAUUUAAAUAAGAUUUAACACAAUAAAAACAUGGAAAAUUAAAAAUCUACUUAUGUUGAUAAAGAUGUCAGAGAAAUGUUUACAAAUGUAUGAAAAUUAAAAAUUUCACAAAAGUUGUCUUAGUCAUAGAAUAUAUUUUUCUCAAAUCUUAAAAAUCCAUAAUAGUUUAUCACAGAAUCAAAAUCUUCAAGGGCAUUCCUAUAGACUACACCUAUUCGAUCCAAAACAUAGUUAUCUAAUAAGGGACAUGACGAGUGCCUAUUGGGCCUCUACCUGAACUUCAUUAACUCAAACAAACAUAGUUCACUCGAUCAAGGAUCUCUGCUAAUUUCCUUGCCCUCAAACACCUAUUGCAUCAAUGAUAACAUAUUUUAUAAUUUAAAAGAUACAGUCAACAAAGAAAAAAUACUCUUAACAUGCCUCCUUAGUUUUGAUGUAAUGCAUUACUUAACUUUUAAGGAAUGAACAUUUUGAUUUUUUAAAAAAUAUAUGUAAUUGAAAUAAAGUUUACAAAAGGUAGAAUAUGGUGAUUAGGAAUACUUGUUAAUUGGCUAAAAUAUGUUAAUUGUUGCCAUUUUGUAUGUCUUCAUUAAGAAUUAAUUAUAAAAAAAAUAGUUAUCAUUUAAUAAAUAUAAGGCAUUGUUAGAAAUUACAUUUUAGAGGAAGGGAGAUGCAUACUUGAAAAGGUCAUUUUAUAAAUAUAAAGCAGUAUUAGAGCUCAAAUUUUAGCGGAAGAGAAGCAUAGUUGAAAUUUGAAAAGAUCUACCAAGUUUUUUUUUUAGUCUAAAAUAUCACAUUCUAAAUAAAUACCUUGAUGAUGUCUAUAAUCUAUUGUUUGGACUCUGGAUUAUAGUAUCUCUUUCUCUUUCAUUCAAAUUUGUUAAUGAUAAAAAAUGACUAACAACUUGUUUGUAUACCAGGCGGAACAUGUUGGUAUACUAUCUUAUAUACCAGUACCAUACGACUCUGAUAUAUUAUUGAAACCGAUAACAGACUGAGAUUGAAAAUAUUAUUUUUUGGUGUGUUUUUUGUUUAUUUCAAUUUGUUUACAAGAGUAGUUCUAAUUCAUUUUUAUGGGUAUUAACUUUAUUUAUGGUAACAUGUGGAAUUUUACUACAAGACAACUACGUAGUUUGUCAACAUGGCAACCAAUUUUAGUGACUAAGACUUUUAGUUAAAAGCAAGGGCUUUUCAAUUUUAGUUAUUUUGGGUUACAUGAAUGAACAAACAGUGUACUUUUUUUUCCCAAAAGUGGACAAAUUUAAACAUUCUUUUAACACCGAUUUGUCGAGUGUUUACAUUCUUUUGUAAUGAAUAGAUAGCCUCUCCUGUUCUGCAAAUUGGCUAACAGUAAUUUAAAAUUUUGGUCCCUAUUACCACUUAUACAAGCACUGCUUCCAAGUGAAAGGUCUCUGUUUUAAGUUAAAACUUUUAACACCUUUUACUAGUUUAUAUUUUAAUUAAUUUGGAUGGAUUCUGAUUUCCUUUCAUUUGAUGGCACGUCUUCCUCCAAUUAGCCUCCUAAAUCAAGUUGAUGAUAGUUUUUCUUUGUGGAAACAUCCUUUUGUCCAGCAUGCUCUCUCUCAGGUUCAGUAGUGAUGCAUCUGGGUGAUAUACGUUACAUGCAUUUGUAUUCUUAUCAAAAGUCUCAAAAAUUCAUAUUAAUUUGUUGUUGCAGAUAAUAAUAAUGUCAUCGUCAUCUUCUUAAUGCUUGUGCGGGCUAUCUGUCUUCAUUCUUAUCAUCUCGUGUUUGUUGGUUUUUUACCAAGUUUAAUUAUGAAUAGACAACUUGCUUUUUGGCUUUCUAAGUAAGCAUUUAUUUUUCAAUCUUUAGGCAAAAGCAGCAUGUGUAUUGAUUGAUUUAUGUUUUGGACCAUUAUCACCAUGGAUAUAUACAAUUACUGUAAAGGUUUCAUCUUUUUCCAUAAUAAGUCUACAUAGUAAGUCAACAACUUGUAUUUUUGUAACUGCAUUGACCCUUUUUCAUGUUGAUCUUGCAAUUGAACUUCUGGAGGACCUCUUGGUGUUCACUAUUUAAUGUGACAAAAUUUGGUAUUUAUUUAAUGUUAGAAUAGGUAGAUGUAUAUAAAUCAUGAUUCAUCAUAAUUAACCUAUUCAUCAUGAAAAUAUAUAAACAAUGUUUGGUGAAUUAUCUAACAUAAGCAAUUAAAACUAUCUAUGUUUGAUGAGUACUUGGUCAUUUCUUGGUGCAGAUCUGACCUUUUUUGUGGUCAAUACAUUGUGAUUUAUUGUGGAUGGUCAAAUUAUCAAUCACUAAUUUUCUCUUAAAAUAAUCUCCUCAUUUUGAGAAAAAUGUUAUUUGAUUUGAACAUCAUAGUCCUAGCAUAACAAAGACUAUGAAGUUCAGAGGCAAUUUGUUCUGCUGUGGUAUAAUAAUUGAUGAUGAUUGUUCAGAUGACAAUUAGUUUCACCAUUUGAUGAUUGUUCAGAUGGCAGUGGUUGAUGAUUGUCGAACUAUGUUAUGCUAGUAUAAUACUAGCAUGGAGUUUUGUUUUAUACCAAGGAUGUCCCUGAACACACAAUCAAGCACAAGGCUUGUUCCAGCCAUAUGUUUAAACCGUGCUGAUCGGCAUGUAUUGUACUGACAUGUCCAUCCUGAUGAACUAAAAAAAUACUUUCUGUGACCUAUCAUAGAUGUUAUUUUGUGAUCCAUCUAUUACCUUAUUAUGAAGAUUCCAACAAUAUUAGUCAUUUGUACACUUGAAUAAAACCCUGAUCUCUUGAAUUUGAUCCUGAUCAUCAUAGCAGUUAUUGUGAAACUGAAACUUUUGUCUGUUGGAUUGGAGUUUUCCUUUUUUUCUAGAGAGCCAAUAAAGAACCUACUGUUUCAGUGUUCUGAUGAUACAACUAUGACGCAGCCUUGUACAGAGUUCUUUGGAGUGUUGUGCUCAACUCUUAUGGGACUUUUAUGGACCAAUAUAACUACUGUUGUUGCUUGGAAAGCUAUAUAUUUCUUAAUGGGUAGCAGAUUAUUUUCUACAUGUUUCUAAGAUACCAAUAUACACUUCAAAUCCUGUGAAUGCAAGUCCUUUAGUUCUAGUUACUGUCAUUUAGUACUUUUUAGUUCAUGAACCCUGUAUGUGUUAUACAUCUUUCAUCUGUGUGCUCAAGAAACUGUGAAUUUCAUCACAAUGCCCCCAUUAUUAUCCAAAUUCUAUCCACUUCCUCCUGAAUAAAAAUUCAAGAAAAGGAAAAAAUUUCGUAUGAUAGAUUAUGCACUUAUUUUCAUGCUUCAUGUUUGGUUGACUCUGUUCAUAAUGCCCCUACCGGGUGUUUCCAUAAUCUACUAGUCGUGCUUAUGCUGCUUUGAAGCAAGGUAUACAAUUUUGAAUGGUACCACCCGGUACAGGCGGUACGUACCGGUCUGAUAGGUUACCGGUAUGCGGACCACCCAUUACCAGGAGGAACGCUUAAAUUAUCUCAAACCCUUCUCAUGUUUUUAAACCAUUCUUCUCCCCUAUUUCACUCCAUUUCAUUCUCAUACUCUGUUAAACUAUCUCAAACUCUUUUUUUCUCAUAUUUGUAUUAUCUUAAACUCCAUUACACCUAAAUUAGGCGUACCGUACCAUAUCAAGCCAACCUCGAAAUGUCGGUACGGUACGAUGUUUCAAUCCUUGCUUUGAAAUAUAUCUUGCUGGCCUUGUCUGAGCAUAUGGAUGAUGUACUGUCAAAAUAUAAGGUUUGACCUUCUAUUAAAGUAUCAAGCAUAAUUUUGCUUACUCUUUCCAAUCAGAUAGAUGAUGCUUUUACCAUCCUUGUAGGAAUUUAAACAUAGGCUUCUAUUUCUUUUAGAGAUGCUAGAACCCUUCCGUGAUCCUGUGAUUACUGGAACAAAGAAUACAACUUCUGAAGAUGCUAAUGAUAUACACUUGGACAAAUAGAAGAACUGUUGUAUUGCAUUCAAUGUUAUAUGUACUGCAUUACGAAGGCAUGCCAUUCUUCCUUUUGUGGAAUGUGAAUGGAGACGUGAAUCUAUUGCACCAUGGUCUAUUGUAACAGCAUAUGCUAAUAUCAUAGAGAAAUUAAAAAAAUUUGAACAUCUUUAUAGUUUAUACUUUAUAAUGUUUAUUUUUGGAGAUGCAAAGAGAGAGAAUGAAGUGAUCGGUGAAGACUACAGUUUAAAAAGAUGUGAGAGUCAAAAAAGAAGAAAUUAUUAUUAUUAUUUUUUCCCUGCAACAAAAUGAAUCUUAUCAAAUGCACCUUGUUGGUUGUUACAUUACUUGGUUUUUAGCUGACAAUAUACUGUCUUCAUUAUCUUUCUAUAUUGCAGUGUACUCCUUUUUGUUUUGGGGCCACAUAUGCCAUUUCCUUCAGAUAUUGACCUUUGCAAAUGUUCAUUUCCUAAGGUGGCUGAUCAAGAGUCUUUAGCUGUUUCUUCUAACUUUGUGAUAUGUUCUCAUGGGGCUUCUAGCACAUCCAGUAAUCCGGAUGAAGCAAAGAGAAAGAUUGAUGCAUCUAAAGCUGCCACAAGAAAAGAUGUACUCCAAGAUGCUAAUCUGUAGUUUGCUCCUAGAGAUCUGUCAAAAAUUGUUCUGACAAGUGUUUCAAAUUAUUUUACUGGGGACUGGAUCAGAUUGAAUUUCAGUUGUGGUGUUUCAGAGAUUAUCUACAACUUGUAAACUAUCAAGAUUCGGUAUAUAGGGCUUCCCAAUUUGAACAUUUGGCAGCUGAUUUGUGUUCCCAGCAUGACAACCCCAGAAAGCCAUGAAGCUGCAAUAGAAUCCAUACUCUUGGCUGCAGAAUGUUAUGCCAACUCAUUCUUUAUAAUCGAUUUCAUAUGGAUGCAAUUCAGAGCUUAUGAAUCAGAUGAAAAUCAUUGGAUCCAAAUUCAUGAAUAAAAAUGGAUUAGUGGUGUUUUAUGAAGACCUUAAGAGAUGUAAUGUCAAUCUGGAGACAAUAGCUUAUCUUGAAAGUAAAAGAGAUAUAACUGUUCUACAAAUUCUGCUUCCGCUAAACUGGACCUCGAAUCUGAGAGAAUUUUGGCUCUUUGGAAACCUUGUACAUAUUAUUUUGAAGAUAAUCAGUAGGCUUUAGAAAUAUCACAAGUCGACAUUGAAUCUGAUGUGGCAACUUUGAUUAGGCAGAAUCAACCAUUGCUUUGCCACUUUGUAAUCCUCCUACAGAGUCUCCCCUCUUUCUACUGCAUUCUGCAACUGAGUUAUCCUGUUCUGUAGAGAAUGUUAAUGACAUUAUACUGCAGUCAGCUGCAAAUCUUAGUGGACAACUUACAAUUUUGUACACCCAACUGAAAGCAGGCAACAUACAACUUGAAAUGGUAAAGUUACAUGGGCUGCCAAGGUGCUGGGCACUUCUUGAAGGAUUAAUCUGGAAAUGAUGAACGGACAUAUCCCAUUGGUAUCAAAAGUGCUGGUUUCAUCUACAGAACUUUAGUUCCACAUUUAUCAUGGAUGCAGAAAAUAUCUAGAUUUUCAA